AGCGAACGCUGGCGGCAUGCCUAACACAUGCAAGUCGCACGGGGGGGCUUCGGCCUCCCAGUGGCGGACGGGUGAGGAACGCGUAGGGACCUGUCGAGGGGUGGGGGAUAACCGCGGGAAACUGCGGCUAAUACCGCAUGACGCCGCGGCGUGACAGCCGGGGCCAAAGGCGAAAGCCGCCCGCCGAGGGGCCUGCGUCCGAUUAGCUGGUUGGCGGGGUAGCGGCCCACCAAGGCGUCGAUCGGUAGCUGGUCUGAGAGGGUGAUCAGCCACACCGGGACUGAGACACGGCCCGGACUACUACGGGAGGCAGCAGUGGGGAAUAUUGGACAAUGGGCGCAAGCCUGAUCCAGCAAUGCCGCGUGGGUGAAGAAGGUCUUCGGAUUGUAAAGCCCUUUCGGCGGGGACGAUGGUGACGGUACCCGCAGAAGAAGCCCCGGCUAACUUCGUG
rnacentral:rRNA from 1 species